CCGGGAUUGCGCUGUACGCUACAGCUGCUGUCAUCCCCUCGCGGGGGCGGACUCCGGCGCACGCGAUGCUGCUCUGCUUCACACACAGAUUACAGCCUGGACCCGUUGAAGAAGUCCCGUUCUUAUCGAUGUAAACGCGGUCGUUUUGCGAGUAUUUCUUCUCCAAAGGUGGCAAGCAAGGACAGUGAGGCUGGCGAGGUGUAGCCCCCACGCCAAGGUUCCCCCUCAUUUCCCGCGUUUGAAGAUGUUAGGACUGAUAAGUUAUGAGCGGGCUGGCGGGAUACGUUGACAUUUUGAUUUACCGUUUGUCCAUUGGCUACUAGGAUUCAACAAAAAGUUCCCUCAAUAUGUAGCUGUUCAAAGCCCAGGCACACCUAAUGCGAAGCACGUGAAGCGGGGCAGGUUGGUGGAGUCUAGUGUUCAGGAUGUUUCACUACAUGGGUUCAAACCCAAAUAGUGUCUGAAAUCCUCCCGUAGGACACAUGACAGGUGAGGAGGUUAUCUGUUUCAGGCCAUUGGGAGGCUUUGCAUCGCCCUCCAACCCUACACACAUUAGACACCAAAAUGAUCAAGAUUUAAGCCGUACCCCGGUGAUCUGGAAAGAGAUUUUGGUAAUCCUCAUUGCAAAUCUGUUCUCCCUCCGUGGCCUACAUCUCUCCAUGGAGAUGCUGACUACAUUACUGCACUGUUAUGAAACACUUUCUUUCUUAUUCUUUCUAUCACUUUCCACCACACAGCUACCACUAUUGCACUGUAAACACAUAACUAACUACUAUCACUUUUUAUUAGCCAUUAAA